rnacentral:rRNA from 1 species
UUUCUGUGAAAAUGCUCCUUACAUCAGCAGUCAUCUCCGUGGUAGAGUGUGGAAGGCACCGCCCUGCCAGGUGCCCGCUUGGAUAUCCACCAAAACCUAGUGGCUAAUACACGGUCGCCCCGGUCUGCUACGGCACGGUCUCGCCAGAAACGCUCAUCCGCUUUUGCCUGGCCGGCAGUGGAUUGCGCCCAGCCGCCCCUGAAGACCAGCGCCUGGAAAGGGCAGCGUGUCGUGGUUGACUCAGGCUGGUCCCCCGCGGACAACUGCGCUGGCAGAGUGGUGGCCUCGGCCACAGCAUUGCUUGACCACACGAACUUCUGACCUAUCAGCCUCGAUGGUGGUGUCGUGGACCACCAUGGCAGUGACGGGUAACGGAGAAUCAGGGUUCGAUUCCGGAGAGGGAGCCUGAGAGACGGCUACCACUUCUAAGGAGGGCAGCAGGCACGCAAAUUGCCCAAUGCUGAGACGUUCCUGGUGAGGCAGCGACGAACUGCAGCAAUUCCGCCUGUCCUCAGUGACCAGCGGGACUUGUAAUGGAUGCAAUCCAAACACAGUGAUGAGUAUCGACUGGAGGGCAAGUCUGGUGCCAGCAGCUGCGGUAAUUCCAGCUCCAAGGGCGUAUGCUAACUUUGCUGCUGUUGAAACACUUGUAGUCGGACGCUGGGUUGCAGGUCUGCCGGGCGGCAGCCUUCGCCUGGCGUGUCCGCGGUUCCCUCCCCGGCCUGGCUCGCCAGGCCGGGUGCGGGGCCGCGGCGCGCCAGCGGGCUGAUACAACCCCCGGCAGUAUGUUCCUGCACCCGUCUUCACGAUGGUGCGAACGGCUCCUGCUCCAAGUCUCCUUCAGUGGGGAUCGAUGCGGUUGCAUACCCAACGCUUGUGUGUUGACGCCAUCGGGGGGCACGGCCCCCGCGUGCCGUGCAGUGCCCUCAGUCCACCACCGGAGUCCACCAUCCCUGCCACCGUGGAAAACUCAGUGUGCCCAAAGCGUCCGCCUCGGCUGGAUGCCCGUCCAUGGAAUGGCAAAGCAUCGACCGGAUGUGGCUAUGGAGUUGUGCUGGCCUUGGUGCUCGUACCGGGGAACCUGGCACGGUCCCCUGCCCUCGCAGAGACGGCCUUCCCCCUCACCGGGGUUCGGCCGCUCCUCCUGGGGGGGCUGGUGGGCCGUGUCGAUCGUCCACGAUGGGACCGCUCGGGGUGAAAGGUAUUGCAACGCCAGAGGUGAAAUUCUUAGACCGCUGCAAGACCCGCUGCAGCGAAGGCGUUCUGCAAGUGCACGUCCGUCGAUCAAGAAUGUGAGUGUGGGGAGCGAAGAUGAUCAGACACCGUCGUAGUCCACAACUGUAAACNAUGCCAGCUCGGUNNUGNUGNNGCAAGUACACGGACNNCANCAGNGCCAUNCCCCCUNCAACGAGAAAUCCAAGCCNNUGGGUUCAAGGGGGAGUACUGUCGCAAGGCUGAAACUUAAAGGAAUUGACGGAAUGGCACCACAAGGCGUGGAGUAUGCGGCUUAAUUUGACUCAACACGGGGAAUGUUACCAGGUCCGGACGUUGCUGGGAUGGACAGAUUGAGAGCUCUUUCUUGAUCCUUNGGAUGGUGGUGCAUGGCCGCUCCUGAUUGGUGGAGUGAUUUGUCUGGUUGAUUCCGAUAACGAGUGAGACAUCUGCCUUCCAAUAGCCCUGGCCUCGCAUCUGUAGGGUGGUCGAUGCGUUCCGAGACGGGGUUCGCCCUUAGCCGAGGUCGUGCCGUUNUGCCCGAGAGGUACAGGAUCAGCUUCUNUGAGGUGCAGUGUACGCUGCCAAGUGCAUGCAUGCUAGAGCCAACAGCAGGUCUGUGAUGCUCCCAGAUGUCCUGGGCCGCACGCGCNCUACAUUGGUUUGGUGAAUAUGCCUGAGUCGCUCGUCCGACACCUGACCGGAAGUGGUUGGGAAACCCUUGGAGCCUAUGUUACAGCCGUACUGGGGAUGGAUGAUUGCAACUGUCCGUCUUGAACGAGGAANCCUAGUAAGCGUGGGUCAUCAGCCCACACUGAUUGUGUCCCUGCCAUUUGUACACACCGCCCGUCNUUGCUACNCAA